AAAACCUAUAUAGAUCUAGUUAUUAUAAAAAAAAUAAAAUCAGGUAUAACAUUAAGUCAUAUCAGCCCAUUAGAGCUUAUGUUAGGCCCAGUAGGAAUUGCUAUGUCCACUAAGAGCAUCAUUACCGGUGAGUACUCUUAGAGUUACUCUCAUUAUUGGGCUCCAAUUUCCCAAUAAAAAACUCAUUUCCGAGUUCAAGAAGAGAGUAUCGUUUCUUUGGGAAGCAAUUGAAGAACCCUUUGAGUAACGCGACGUGGCAUGUUUUGGUUCGUUGUUGGGGAAAUGUAAAUUAAAAAAAAUUUUGCCAAUUUUUUUUUUUCUCUUCGCGAUUCUCUCUCUUUCUUCUUCCCGAUCUUCUCUCUUUUCUCUCUCGAAUCCUUUGAUUAUUCCAGCUUAAACUCGAUAUUUUGGGAGCUUCCAUUAAUUCGAUUAUCCGAUUCAGCAUUUGUGUUUUCGUUUCUGGCUGCUGCAGUUUGAUUUGAGAAAUAUGGUGGUCCUUCUGGCUUCGUGAUCUGGUCUAAUUACAAGCUGGUUUUGUGAAUUGUAAUAGCCAUUGUUUUGUUUUCAAGAGUCUGCGUGGCUACUCUGCAAGCCAUGGUUGCAGACUCUCUUAAACAAAUUUUACAACCACCGAUGUAACUCUCCUCUCAGAGAUUGAUCUUCAAGGAGUGAGUUGGCAUCAGGGGAAGCAUAUUCUUGCCUUUAUAUCCGGUGCAAAUCAAGUCACAAUUCGUGAUUAUGAGGACAAAGAAAUUAGUUACAUCGGAUAUUGGUUGAAGAAACAACUGUGACAGCUGAGGCUAGAGUAGUUGAUGGACUCCAGCUUGUGUUUUCAAACCCGUAUGAUCUGGUUUCAGAAAUCCUAAACCAUCCUGAAGCAUUCGGUUUUCAAAAUGUAAGGAGUGCAUGUUGCGGAACAGGAUACUACGAGAUGAGCUACUUGUGUGAUAAAAUGAACCCAUUCACAUGUUCUGAUGCGAGCAAAUAUGUAUUUUGGGACUCAUUUCACCCAACAGAGAAGACAGACGCAAUAGUGGCAAGCCAUAUUCUGAAGUACGACUUGUCUCGGUUUCAGUGAUAGAUAAGAAGGUAUUUCAACAUUUUUACUAACUACUCUCUAACCGAUUAUAAUCUGCUACAUUCAGUUCUAGGCUAGAUAUAGUAGACCUGUAGCUCAUGAGCCAUGGCUGGGUUUGUUUUACAUCAUCUGGUUUCUUGAUCAUGAGCCAUGGCUGGGUUUUUUUUAAGCUUGAUAUAGAUCUUAACUGUAAAAAUGUUGUGACUUGGCUCCUGCUGCAGCGGAACCAACCUCCCCUAAUAACAACAUUUUGCCAAAAAUAGAAGAGGGAAAGGAAAACUCUGUAUGCCAUUUUUCUAUUUUUCAGUUUAUUGAAAUUUAGCCUCUCUUUUUUUUUUGUCUUUGUUUUUGAUAAAUUAAUUUUUUUUUAAAGAAAAAGAGAAUGAAUCAGAAAUUUCUUGUUAAACAUAGUUUUGAAAAUUAUAUGAAACAAUAUCUUGAAUCAAUUGUAUCUUUGUGUACUUCCAUAAUAUCUUGAUACACAAAUGCAUGAUCUUUUGGAAAAAGACUUGAUUGAGCAUAUCUGGCAAAAAUUUGGUGCAACCGUACAAUAAAUCUUAUUCCAAAU